GCAGCCACCGCGGUAAUACAGAGGGUGCGAGCGUUAAUCGGAUUUACUGGGCGUAAAGCGUGCGUAGGCGGCUUUUUAAGUCGGAUGUGAAAUCCCUGAGCUUAACUUAGGAAUUGCAUUCGAUACUGGGAAGCUAGAGUAUGGGAGAGGAUGGUAGAAUUCCAGGUGUAGCGGUGAAAUGCGUAGAGAUCUGGAGGAAUACCGAUGGCGAAGGCAGCCAUCUGGCCUAAUACUGACGCUGAGGUACGAAAGCAUGGGGAGCAAACAGGAUUAGAUACCCGCGUAGUCCCUGUCUCUUAUAC
rnacentral:rRNA from 1 species